rnacentral:lncRNA from 1 species
GCGAACUCGCUUAACUUCGGAGUUCUGAUGGAACCCGAAGCCAGUGAGUUUCCAAAAAGCCUCAUGCUAGAUAGAGAUGAGAAUAUACAUAUAGAGCUUACAUGAUCCACUCUCCCGGACGAUGUGGGAUGUUACACAAACUAUCAAGGGUUUUAGGCUUAUUAAAAUCUUUCUUAGGCCUAACCUCAUAAAAAGAAGUAUAAGGCUAAUUAAAUCAUCCAAAAAAAAAGUUUUAGGCUUAAAUUUACGUUAUUGGCUAUGCAAUGGCGGUGUCAAGAAUUAUUUGGUGUGUGAGAUAAGCUAAAAUUGUUACUAUGAAAUCAAAUGCUCAAUUUUUUUGUUGCCUACAUAAAGUUAUAUAAUAGUGAAUCUAAAAGUAAUAAUUUGAAGUAAGAAAUUUGUAGUCUGUUUUCUAAGUUUCAAGCCAUCAAAAUAUUCAAGUGAAUAAAAUAAGGAAGUGUGUGUGGUAUAGAAGUUUUAAUUUAUUACUACUAAAUUCUAAUAUUGGUUAAAGUGAUAUGUUUAUUUAACAUUAUUAACUUUUAUUUUCCCGAAAAGCAACCCUAAGGUUUAGACUUUUAAUUUGUUAGGCGGGUUGUAACAAUUAAAAAUCAUAAAACCACCCAACUAAUUAAUAUUUUUAAGUUUCAAAGAACUAAAACUUUCCCUAUGCUGUAACCAACCGAGCCUUGUACUUGGCUCCACCAACGUGUCUAUGUGUUUGUGAAGUCCACUUUAUCCUACAGGAAGUCAUUUUGGCAAAUUUGCCUUAAAAGUUUUCAUUUUUCACUUUACCCCCACCGUUAAGCACGUCUAAUUGUCUGUCCGAUGUGUUAACGUGGCAAAAAAAAAAAACCAUUGAAAAGUUUGGUCUUUUAACCCACAAAAACCAAAUGUGGGAAGAAAAACAUGUCAACAAUUAUUCUCUGUCACGAAUGAUAAGCAUCGCAUGUUAUAAGUGAUGACAAACUUAGCGUCAUAGUUAAAUAAAAAUGACAACUACAUAAGCCUCGCAUAUUUUAUAAUGUGACAAAUAGACAGGUUCUCAAAUCAACUAUACGUGACGCCUGAACAAUUUCGUCAUAUAUAAUCACUUGUGAGAGGGAAUUUAUGAUGCCCUUUGGGACGCCUAAUUUUUCUCACAUUUGUACAUACAUGAUGCAUUUUCCCUUUCUGUUGGGAAUUUUUUUUUUCACAUAUUAUCUUUGUAGCGUGAGCACUCUAAUACUACAUUGGGGAAUUUUUGCCCACCACCCUCAAUA